UCUCAUGCCGUCAGUUUCUUUCCUUUUCAAGCUUACGAUUCUGGAAUAUCUAGAUCUCCAACCCUAGCAUCAUCUCCAUCCCUAGCAUCAUCCAUUGCACCGUGCAGCCCGUCAUCUCAAGCGCCGGCGUGUGGAGGACUCGAGGUUAGCUGCCUGCCCAGUACUUGCUAGUAAUUUCUUAUUGAUGCAGAUCUGUUGCUGCUUGAUUGAAUUAUUCCGUGAUCCAUCCCACUUCCUAGCUAGCUUUGACAUGGGUCAUUCUGGAAGCCAACCACGGCUUGGUGCUGCUAAUGCCGC
rnacentral:lncRNA from 1 species